UGAGGAAUAUUGGUCAAUGGGCGGGAGCCUGAACCAGCCAAGCCGCGUGGGCGAAGAAGGCCCUAUGGGUCGUAAAGUCCUUUUGUCAGGGAACAAAAAGCGGGUAUGUAUACCAGUCUGAGUGUACCUGAAGAAAAAAGCAUCGGCUAACUCCGUGCCAGCAGCCGCGGUAAUACGGAGGAUGCGAGCGUUAUCCGGAUUUAUUGGGUUUAAAGGGUGCGUAGGCGGCAUGUCAAGUCAGCGGUAAAAAGCCCAGGGCUCAACCCCGGCCCGCCGUUGAAAACUGAUGAGCUAGAGACGCGGAGAGGUAGGCGGAAUGCGCAGUGUAGCGGUGAAAAUGCAUAGAUAUUGCGCAAGAACUCCGAUUGCGAAGGCAGCCUACUGGUCGCGGACUGACGCUGAGGCACGAAAAGCGUGGGGAUCGAACAGGAUUAGAUACC
rnacentral:rRNA from 1 species